AGGAUAAACGCUGGCGGCGUGCCUAACACAUGCAAGUCGAACGCGCUUUCGUCUUCGGAGGAGAGCGAGUGGCGGACGGGUGAGUAACACAUGGGUACCUACCCCACAGUGAGGGAUACCGGCGAGAAAUCGCCGACAAUACCGCAUAGGCUUCUCUUUGGAGACGAGGAGAAGCAAAGUUGCGCAAGCGACGCUGAGGGAUGGGCCUGUGGCCGAUUAGCUAGUUGGGGGGUAACGGCCUCCCAAGGCUUCGAUCGGUAGCUGGUCUGAGAGGACGAUCAGCCACACUGGGAUUGAGAACGGCCCAGACUCCUACGGGGGGCAGCAGUGAGGAAUUUUCCGCAAUGGAGGCAACUCUGACGGAGCAACGCCGCGUGCAGGAUGAAGGUUUUCGGAUCGUAAACUGCUUUUCUCGGGGACGAGCAAGGACGGUACCCGAGGAACGAAGCCCCGGCUAACUACGUGCCAGCAGCCGCGGUAA
rnacentral:rRNA from 1 species